rnacentral:misc_RNA from 1 species
UGGUUCUGGCAUCGAUGAAGAACGCAGCGAAAUGCGAUAAGUAAUGUGAAUUGCAGAAUUCAGUGAAUCAUCGAAUCUUUGAACGCACAUUGCGCCCGCCAGCAUUCUGGCGGGCAUGCCUGUUCGAGCGUCAUUUCAACCCUCAGGCUAGCCCUGGUGUUGGGGACCUGCACACUGCAGCCCCCGAAAGGCAGCGGCGGACCCGUCCGGCUCCGAGCGUAGUACUAUACGUCGCUCAGGACCCCAGGCGGGCUUCCAGCCGAUAAACCCCCUAUUUCUCAAGGUUGACCUCGGAUCAGGUAGGAAUACCCGCUGA